ACCCGCUGGGGGGCUGCGCUGGGGCUGGUCCCCGCGGGGGGGACGCCAAUACAAGGCCACUGACGUCUCGUGGCCGGAUGACGGGCCGGAUUGGGCUGCCGGCAUGGUGCUGGCUGCCUGCGUGCCCCUGGUGCUGGGGCUUGCAACCUGCUGUAGGGGCAGAGGGCUCGUAGCUGGGUGUAACUGUUUCACUGCCAUUUUUUCCUAGGGGACUGAUGGUAUGGGUCUAUUAUUCUUCUCUUUCAAGGAGACAAAAGGUGUCUUGCUUUACCUCCAAGCCGGAUACUUCAGAGAAAAGGAUGGUCCUUGCCGUUCUCCCAAGCCACAGGAGAACCAGAGAGUUCCUGUUUUGGAGCCUGCGUCAUUUCUGAAGAAAAUGUGGAUCUAAGGCACAUAUGCUUGACUAAGGUGUCUGGGAGAACAUGAAGAACCUCCUGCAGUCUGGACUUCUGCUUCAGGGAGGUUCAGGAUUUGGAAGGUACAUUGUUGUACCCUGGAUGAAAACAUGCCAGUAGAGCUGUGCGUAGUAUGUAUUUAUUUAUAGUAUGUAUUUAUAGUCUGCACAGGAAUUUAUUGCAUCUCAUAAUAAUCAGAUGGACAUCUAUGUUUGCAGUGACUACUUGCAUGAAAUAAAGAAUGAGAUGUUAGAGGCUCAUCAUGAUCUCUGCUUUGGGGGAGGGCUAAAGAGACUUUAAAUAAUCUUCAUACCCUUUUGAUUCUGGGCUUUAUGGUAGAAAGCGAGUGUUCUGUGUAUCGGUUACCAAACAGCCUGCGCUAGGAUUGAAGUCCUAACUACAGUUCUCCUAAGUUUAAUCAUCUUUCUGUCAUGAAUUUUGUUUAUGCUAUAAGCUUCAGGCAACGCCUCCCUCCUUGGUGCUUCACUAGUAGCACCGUGUAGUCAGCUCACAUCUUGCAGACGUUUCCUGGUCUUAACAUCCUUCUCCACGUCUGCACAUCUAUUCUUUGUGCAGAGAUAUUCGUGUGUUUUCUGAUGGGUUACAAAUAUCCUAAUCAUUAGUCUAUUGUCUAAUUGCUUACCAGCCACACCCACAAGUUCCUCUUUACUCCAUCACUCAUUCCUACUGUUGAAGACAGAAUAUUGGGCUAGAUAUUUUUGCCUAACAGGGUAUUUCUUAUCUUCAUACUUCAGUUAUGCUGUCUUUACAGCAUUGUUUUAGCUUUACAUAAUGGGUCCUAAAGGAUACCACAAGGAGGUCAGAAGUACAUAUUAUCAGUGAAAUGGGACCUUUAUUGUUCAAACAUGUCAUGUCUUCCUCAAAUUUCUGUUCUACUGGGGGUCUUCUUAUCCAAGCUUUCCUCUAUAAAUAAAUAUAUGAAUGUUCUGUCAUGUGGUGUCUGCAAAUGUUCAUAUAACAUAAAUUACUGAAACCAGAUAAAAUACUCUCAAAUAUGAUCUGUUGGCACUUAGCCAUUUUCCAUGAAGUAUGCAGGUUAACAUGCCCACAGGUUUACUUGUUCCUCUGGUACUGGAAGCUGAAACAAAGUGAUUAAGGAUGAACUUCCAGGUUUAUGCUAUACUGCAACUGCAAUCACUGAAAGAGCCUUAAUGUGGUGUAAGUAGAAAUAAAACUGGAAUUUGCUCCAAAAUAAUAGGAAAAAAAAAUUGAGCACUCCAGCUGCUAUAGGUUGGCUCCCUCAAUCACUUGCCUCUGUACCUGCAGAGACAGAAGUCUAGCAACCAGACUCUGCACGUAUUUCAGGGGAGAAUAUAUAUGCUUUGUCUUGACCCUGUUAAGAGAUUCCUGAGUAAUUUUAAGAUCAGCUCCAGCUGUAUGUAUUUGCUUGAUUUCCUUGUUACUUGUAUCUUUGGAUUUAGGGCUGUAAUCUGUUAAUCCCCAAAAUAUCACCAGAUAAUCUGUUUAAUCAUAAGCAAAUACUUAUCUUGGUAGUCAAUAGAAUAUAAGUUAUGCAAAAUAAUUCAGGCUUACUGCUAGGCAAGUUUAGAAUCUGUCAACACAGCUCUUUUACUGUUAGUCCACAAUUAAGAGUAAGUUUUCGUCUGAGUUUCAGUUCAGGUAUUUUUGUUCUGAGGCAUAAUUGAAAUCUUUCAUGGUGUUUGAUAUGGAAUUUUGACCUUGUAAAAAGUCUUAAUUCUGAAGCAAUUGUCUAAAAUAUUUAUAAUGUGAAGUAUUUGGUAGUGGCUUCAUAAUUGAUAUCGAAUUGUUAAUGAUAGCACAAUUAUCUAGAAAGACCCAAAUCUUAGUGUCAUAAAACUCUCUAGUGUUCAGUAUCCAUAGAGCUACAGGACAAAAGUCCAGGCAUGUUCUUUAAUAGUUAAUAUGUAGUAAUUAAUAUGACAUAGUUCUUAUAGGCAGGAAAAUGGCCAGAAACUCCUGUGAGUUUAUUUUACGGCUUGUUAAUAGGAAACUAUUCUCAGCAGCAGAGGGCAACGAUGACCUGGUUUUAUCUACGUUGCGUACUUCUGUCCGACAUUAAGCAACGAAGUUCAAAGAAAUCUCAUCUUUCUUGGGGGGCGGGGGGAAGAAUAACCCUGUGAAUCCUUCAUAAAUGAGCUGGUAUAUCAAAUAGUAAUGUUACCUCUGGGCUCAACUGCUGCAUGUUACUUGGCUUAUAAAAGGUUUAGGUGUUACACAUGACAGCCCCGUUACCUUAGCGCUUCACUGUCUCUCUUGGUUCUCAAAGGAUAUUUUUCAGCUACAGGACUGGUUUGAGUUUACUAAGAGACUGACUCAUCCCUGAGGCCAUCACAUCCCACACGAUAUUUACGUCUUUGGGACAAUUAAACCCUAAUGUAUUUUGGGAGAGGCUUCUUCCCAAGAAGGGCCUGUCUUUGAACACUCUUAACUAAAUUCUUGCACGCUUCUGGAAGAGAUGCAAUUACUACAUACAUCACCAUUACACUUUUUUUUACCUAUAAGUGAGGACAGAGGGAGUCAUCUUACUAAUUCUAGUUAGAAUGUCAUGCUCAAAAACUGUACUCUGAGCCAAACUGCUUUUUUAGAACAAGCAUGUACAAUUGUACUCCUUUGCUCUGUACUUCUGAGUCAGUAGCCCUGUAGGAAAGAGUAUCUGCAGUAGGGUGAGGCCUUUAAUGAACUGAGCUAGAGCCCCUACCAGCAAAAGAAGAUGAAAUCUGAUCUAGACCCACGGCCAUUCAGAAAUGUUUCUGUUGCUCAUCUCUGUUCAUUUGCCUCAGGGUGCUUUGGACUAGUUUGGCAUUGAGUCUUCACAUUGUGAAAUGCUGAAGUGAGCAGAUCUGUCUUUGCAAUAUGCCUAAUAUAAUGGAGCCUGUUCCUGAUUAGAUCUUUGAGUGGUACUGUAAUAUACUUUCUUUGAUUCCUGCCUGGCAGCUCGUGUGUCCGAAUUAAGUAUUUCCAUAUAUUUAGUUGUUUUGAUUUUAUGUUCAGAAGCUGUUAUCCCCAAUCUCUAGGUAUCCUGGCAAUUCUCAGGUGGUGUCAUAUCAAGCUCUUAUUCUCACUUGGUGUGCUUGACUGCUGAAAUCAGAAAUGGGCAGUUCAGAUAGAUUCUAUGCUUAGUUAACAUAUAUGUUAUGUUUCUAAUCUUUACACUUGAAAUAUUUAAGGACAGUAUUUUCUUAUCAUUGUAAAGGUGAUUUUUUUUCCCCCCUUUUUAAUGGGAAUUUUUUAACCAUAUCUGAAUAAUUGAAAUAUAGGAAGGCCAGCUAUUGUUAAGCAUUGUUAUGGCUUAACAGGGGAAAAACAAUGAGUAUCAAUAUAUUUAAGUUUACUUGGGUUUCUACGCAGCUGGAGUAUAUAUCUCUGUUUCUGCCUUGUUUGUUUUGAUGUUUAUUAUAGAACUUUUGUUUUCGGUAUUUUGUCUGAGCUUUCCAGCAGCAAUAACCAGGGAACAGAAAACUAAUUGUUAUAUACAGCAUUACAUGUACACUGUACAGAGGAAUUUUGUGCUCAGAAAUAAAAAUCUUGUAAUGGCACUGCUCAGUUUCUAGGAGCUGUUGAACAAUUCCCCCUAGUGCUAGAUCUUAGCCUGCAGAGGGCAGCCUGACCUAGCAUUUUACUUGAGCAGCGUGCUGAGCAGGAGAGUUCAGUACUGUGCUGGCAUCUCUAGCUAUUACUGUGGCUUUGUCGAGAAUAAACAACAGAAUAUUGUGGGGAAUUAGCAUCAGUCCUAAACUGAAAUGGAAUCAAAAGUGGACGGUCCCCCGCCCCUAAAAACUCUUGACUAAACCUUUUGGUAUUUUUUUCUUUAAAAGCGCAUUGAAAGAACAAAAUUGAAAACUCAGCUGAGCCUGAACUUUAAGUACCUCAAAUAGACAACAUGUAGGUUUCUUUGUAGAUAUCAGUAGCUAAGAGAAAAGGAAAUAUCUGUGGAUUGCAUGUAUUGGACAAGACUAACAGGAGAAGAGAAUUGUUUUUCCCUUACUCCAAAUCUCUUCAGGAGUCUUUUGAGAUCCAUUUAAGCUACUGUUAACAGGACUGUUAGAGUGUGCCUUUGGCUGAAUGGGCUGUGUCCUUUGCCUGGUCUGUCCUGAGUCCUUGCGGAACAAACAUCGCAAUUUCAAGGGGAUUUUGUUGGACAGCGUGUGCUCUGCACAGAUCUGUGCCUUAUCUCUCAAACUGAUCAGUGCCAGGUGGCAUACUAGGGGCUGCUAUCCUGACAUAGUAUGACGAGGCACAAGGCAUUCAGUUCUUGAAAAGGAGCCAGCACUUUGUGUGUCUCAAAUCAAAUUGCAUCCAGCAGCUGAUUAAGGAAUAAUCUUGAUGUGCUCUGAAGGAAGUCCUGUCUACUUCUAUAUUUUUCAGCCAGAGGGCCCUGCAGUGUAGUCUUCAGUGUAGAAAGUAAGUAUAAAGAAAAAGAGCAUCUGAGGAAUUAAGGCAGCGCUGGUAAGGUCUGAAUUCCAGAGGUACAGGAAGAAACCUAUCUGUGAAGUGUCUGUUAUGAUCAGAUAUGAAAUUACUCACUGAUACACUUUUACAUUGAUUUAGAUAAUUAAUUUCUUUGGGUCUGAACUUUCUACCCCACAUAUGCAUGGCUGUGCACAGCUAGAGUUUGGUUUGCUUCAUUUUAACUAUUGAUGAAUUUUUGCUUCUGAUUCCUAAAGCCUUCUCCAUGUAUAAGAGUGCUGAGAGAUUUUGAUUCUGGUUUAUUCAUAAUAUUUUAUGCAAUUCUUGCUAUAUUUUCAUAAACAUCCUUUGUAAUGUGAACUUUGACCAACGAAAUGUCUGUCACAGUUUACACUGAUAAUAUGAUGUAAAAGAUACACUAUGUAAAAAUGCUAUCGCGUUUAACCUACGUGUCAUAGAGAACUAUUUAUUGUACACUUAUUAAAAUGCUGUCUUGUUUUAGAAAUGUAAAGGUGUGCAGAGGAAAAGAGAAAUAAUUACUUGGGCUUAUAUCCUUUUUGCUUUAUGAUCUUUAGAGAAGGCUUAGAAUAAUGCUCUUUGUGUCUAAAAACAAAAUCAAAAGCCAGAACGCACAGACACACGCGCACACAGCCUUUCUUGGUUGUGUUGGGUUUCGUUUGGCUUCUGAGACUCUGAAGAACACUUACUUCCCGAUUCCCUUAUCUUUCCUAAAACAUUUAUGCCUAGAAACAGCUUUAGAAGUGAAGUCAAAAUUCUCCUGGGGUCUUUUGGUUUCAACAGUUGCAACUUUUGGAAAAAGAUCUCCUAUUGCAAAACACCUGAUUAAAUCUUAAGACUUACUAAUA